CGCGAGAUAGAGCAGUUUGGUAGCUCGCAAGGCUCAUAACCUUGAGGUCACGGGUUUAAAUUCUGUCUCCGUAA
rnacentral:tRNA from 1 species